AUUGAACGCUGGCGGCAGGCUUAACACAUGCAAGUCGAGCGAGCGGCGGACGGGUGAGUAAUGUCUGGGAAACUGCCUGAUGGAUGGGGUUAACUACUGGAAACGGUACCUACUACCGCAUACCAUCAGAUGUGCCCAGCUGGGAUUAGCUAGUAGGUGGGGGAAUGGCUCACCUAGGCGACGAUCCCUAGCUGGUCUGAGAGGAUGACCAGCCACACUGGAACGGAGAAACGGUCCAGACUCCUACGGGAGGCAGCAGUGGGGAAUAUUGCAAAAUGGGCGAAAGCCUGAUGCAGCCAUGCAGCGUGUGUGAAGAAGGCCUGCGGGUUGUAAAGCACUUUAAGCGAGGAGGCGUUACUAGCAGAAGAAGCACCGGCUAACUCCGUGCCAGCAGCCGCGGUAAUUC
rnacentral:rRNA from 1 species